rnacentral:lncRNA from 1 species
GAUGAGUUGAAAGUUAACUCCAAGGGCAGAUAAGGAAACAGAUUGUGAAAGCUCUCUCAAGAAGCUUGACUGCAAAAAGAAAGAAAUCUGGGAUGGAAGCCUGAAGAAGUUGUCAUGUUGAGCCAGCUCACUGGUGUCCAGCUGGGGAGGAUGGAAUGCUCUGGCCCUGCUGGAGUACAGGUAAGACCAUGUAACAACUUCUGGCCAGUGGAAUGUGGGAGUGAUAUACUCCAUGCUGAGCAUGGCAAAGAAAACAUCUCCCUUGCAUCUUCUACUUUUCUCUUUGCCGUUUGCCAGCUAGAAGUUAGGGUCCAAGGUGAUCACAAAAGCCAUGUGUUGAAGAUGGUAGAAUACCUGGGAGCCCAGGUUCUAGAAUGUCUGCAUGCUGCUGAGAAUUUCAGAUGAAGGUCAGACCAUCUGUCCAUGAAAUAUUAAGGAAAACAAAUGCUCAGUUAUUCCCACGUUUCUUGACCAUAUUUCCUUAUGUUCUUUAGGGGAUACAGUCAAGGUAUACAGUCAUAAAAACAAAC